rnacentral:rRNA from 1 species
UACGUAGGGUGCGAGCGUUAAUCGGAAUUACUGGGCGUAAAGCGUGCGCAGGCGGUGAUGUAAGACAGAUGUGAAAUCCCCGGGCUCAACCUGGGACCUGCAUUUGUGACUGCAUCGCUAGAGUACGGCAGAGGGGGGAUGGAAUUCCGCGUGUAGCAGUGAAAUGCGUAGAUAUGCGGAGGAACACCGAUGGCGAAGGCAAUCCCCUGGGCCUGUACUGACGCUCAUGCACGAAAGCGUGGGGAGCAAACAGG